UUUCAUGAGAGUCGCUCUUUUCUCCCGAUAAAGGCGGCGUUUCGAUUUCCAGAAUCCCUCGCGCAUGGACCGCAACGUGGAGAUGUUCAUGACCAUCGAGAAAUGCCUGGUGCAGAAUAACUGCCUGGCUCGGCCCAACAUCUUCCUGCAGCAGGAGAUCGAGCCCAAGCUGCUGGGCAAGCUCAAGGACAUCGUCAAGAGGCACCAGGGCACCGUGACCGAGGACAAGAGCAACGCGUCGCACAUCGUGUGCCCCGUGCCCG